CAUAGAUAACCCAUUAUUUCAGUACCCACACAUACACACUGGAGUUUAUAGAAAUAUGUGUUGAAUUCCUUUGCAGAGUUUUAUUUAGCACACUUUGGAAAUGUUUGUGUUGAGUUCUGUCACUUAUCAAAGGGGGUGAAUAACAUCCUGUUUCCUCACAGGGAUAUCUAAAGCUACAAGAUCUCCUACAGGCAAACUGCUAUCAUUAUCCUGUUUCAGUUAGAAUCAAGAACUGGUAUUCAUUUCAGCGUCUUUCCUUCCAUUCAGUAGUAAAAAUUUCCAGGAAGCAUGUCACAUGAGCUUAGAAGAUCCAAAGGAAGUAAAAACUUUCCAAAAUGAAAAUUCCGAUUUUGUAGUAAUAAAAGUUUUUCUGAACAUGAAAUAAAUGUUCAUAGGUGUAGCAGGCAGAAUGCCCGGUAAAGACGUCCACAUUCUAAAUCCCUAGAACUUAUGAAUAUGUUAGUUUGCAUGAAAGGGGGAAUGAAGGGUCGCCUGGAUGGCUCUGUUGUUAAGUGUCUGCCUUCAGCUCGGGUCAAGAUCUCAGGGUUCUGGGAUUGAGCCAGGCAUUGGUCUCCCUGCUCUGCUCCCACUCCCCCUGCUGGUGUUCCUGCUCUCACUGUGUCUCUCUCUGUCAAAUAAAUAAUAAAUAAUAAAAUCUUAAAAAAAAAAAAAAAGAAAGAAAGAAAGAAAGAGAAAGGGGAAAUGAAGGACUUUAAAUGGACUUUAAAAUAGGGAAAGUACCAUAGGUUAUCCAGGUGAUCCUAAUGUAAUCACAAGAGUCCUUAAAAGGGGGAAAUAGGAGUAGGGAGAGGAAGUGGAGAACCACAGCCAGUGACAGAGCAGCUUGAGGACUUAGACUGAGGUUGCUGGCUUCGAAGUCAGAAAAGAGCCACAAGCCAACAAAAGCAAGUAGUCUCUAGAAGCUAGAAGAGGCAGGGAUAUGGAUCCUCCCUUGAGCUUCCAGAAGGAGCAGUCUUAUGAAUACCUUGAUUUUAGCCCAGUGAGAUGUACUUCAGACUUCUGACCUACAGAACUAUGAGAAUCCAUCUUCAUCCUGAAGUCAUUUGAUCUCUCCCGCUGAUAUUCCUUGAUUCUAUGAGUCUGUCCUGGAUGAGAACUGCCUACACUGGUUGACAGAGCUGUUACUGAGUGACGUGCACAGGUCUGAGUCCUCACUUGCCCUCAUGUCUCACUCCAUUUUUGCCAGAAUGCAACAAGGGCUUCAAAAGAUGGGACUGAAAAUGGAUAUUCCUGAGAAUUAGAAACAAAUCACAGCAGGGAACUAACAACAUAAAAAUACUUCAAACUGUGAGGAAUUGAAGCAACAGUUCCUGUUGUGAUGUACACAAUGGACACAGCAUGUGAACGGCUAUUAAAAACUGGAAGAAAAAAGGAUGUCUUUGAGAAACAACUUUUUAAAAACCACAGAGAACGCAAACGUCUCAUGAGCAGAGCGCUUAACUGCCACGGAAAAACCUCUGGGGCUGAAAUAGUGAACCCAUGGAAGAAGUUUGAAGUUUGAAUCCCGAAGUAAGUUUUGCCACAACUUGCCCCAUCUCCUGGUGCUCACAAAUCCCUCUCAGUGCAACCAAAAGUCCUCCUACUUCUAUCAGUCCCCAAGAACUACUCGGCCAAGGUUACCAAGUCCACCUCAAAAUCACUUAAGUAUGUAAAACUGGAUAAGGAAGAUAUUGAUCUCUAACAAACACCUUGCACCCCAAACUCCAGCUCGGCAUGUUUCUAAAGAACCCUGCCUGCCAUAGCUGCAGCCAAGAGCUGGAUUACUCAUAACCUGGCUGCUAAUAAGGACCCCUUCACUGGUGGCAGAUGGAGCACAGCAGCCGCUGGCACAAGGAAGAUGUUGCUGCGGCUGAGGUCGAAGAGGUUGCUGCCUGUGUUCUCCUCAAGGAUUUUGAUGGAUUCCUUUCGCACAUUGAGGUCCUUCAUCCAUUUUGAGUCUAUUUUCAUGUGUGGUGUAAGGAAGUGGUCCAAUUUCAUUUUUCUGCAUGUGGCUAUCCAGUUUUCCCAACACCAUUUAUUGAAGAGGCUGUCUUUUUUCCAUUAAAAAAAAAAAGAAGAAGAAAUAGAAAUAAACCACCAUUUUGCACCAAAGACGUCUCAAGAAUUAUUUCUUGGUUGUCAGCUUGGGACUUCACCCCACUGAAUCUCACUUACAUUCUAAAACUUCAUCACUGAGAUAUGGGCAGUGCAUGAACUGGAUAUUGGAGAUAAGUUAUUGAAAAGCCAGCAUUUACUAAGCCUUUGUUAACUAUAGAACUAAGUUUUGUAAACAUG